rnacentral:rRNA from 1 species
GAUGAACGCUGGCGGCGUGCCUAAUACAUGCAAGUAGAACGCUGAAGGAAGGAGCUUGCUCUUUCCGGAUGAGUUGCGAACGGGUGAGUAACGCGUAGGUAACCUGCCUGGUAGCGGGGGAUAACUAUUGGGAACGAUAGCUAAUACCGCAUAACAGUAGAUGUUGCAUGAUAUCUACUUAAAAGGUGCAAUUGCACCACUACCAGAUGGACCUGCGUUGUAUUAGCUAGUUGGUGAGGUAACGGCUCACCAAGGCGACGAUACAUAGCCGACCUGAGAGGGUGAUCGGCCACACUGGGACUGAGACACGGCCCAGACUCCUACGGGAGGCAGCAGUAGGGAAUCUUCGGCAAUGGACGGAAGUCUGACCGAGCAACGCCGCGUGAGUGAAGAAGGUUUUCGGAUCGUAAAGCUCUGUUGUAAGAGAAGAACGAGUGUGAGAGUGGAAAGUUCACACUGUGACGGUACCUUACCAGAAAGGGACGGCUAACUACGUG